rnacentral:rRNA from 1 species
CCGCAUACGACCUACGGGUGAAAGCGGGGGAGUCGCAAGACCUCGCGCGAUUGGAUGAGCCGAUGUCCGAUUAGCUAGUUGGCGGGGUAAUGGCCCACCAAGGCGACGAUCGGUAGCUGGUCUGAGAGGAUGAUCAGCCACACUGGAACUGAGACACGGUCCAGACUCCUACGGGAGGCAGCAGUGGGGAAUAUUGGACAAUGGGCGCAAGCCUGAUCCAGCCAUGCCGCGUGGGUGAAGAAGGCCUUCGGGUUGUAAAGCCCUUUUGUCCGGAAAGAAACGCCUCGGAUUAAUACUCUGGGGUAAUGACGGUACCGGAAGAAUAAGCACCGGCUAACUUCGUG